AGUGAACGCUGGCGGUAGGCCUAACACAUGCAAGUCGAACGGCAGCACAGUAAGAGCUUGCUCUUACGGGUGGCGAGUGGCGGACGGGUGAGGAAUACAUCGGAAUCUACUUUUUCGUGGGGGAUAACGUAGGGAAACUUACGCUAAUACCGCAUACGACCUACGGGUGAAAGCAGGGGAUCUUCGGACCUUGCGCGAUUGAAUGAGCCGAUGUCGGAUUAGCUAGUUGGCGGGGUAAAGGCCCACCAAGGCGACGAUCCGUAGCUGGUCUGAGAGGAUAAUCAGCCACACUGGAACUGAGACACGGUCCAGACUCCUACGGGAGGCAGCAGUGGGGAAUAUUGGACAAUGGGCGCAAGCCUGAUCCAGCCAUACCGCGUGGGUGAAGAAGGCCUUCGGGUUGUAAAGCCCUUUUGUUGGGAAAGAAAAGCAGCAGGUUAAUACCCCGCUGUUCUGACGGUACCCAAAGAAUAAACACCGGCGAACUUCGU
rnacentral:rRNA from 1 species